UACGUAGAGUGCAAGCGUUGUCCGGAAUUAUUGGGCGUAAAGAGCUCGUAGGCGGUCUGUUGCGUCUGCUGUGAAAACCCGGGGCUUAACCCCUGGCUUGCAGUGGAUACGGACAGACUAGAGGUAGGUAGGGGAGAAUGGAAUUCCCGGUGUAGCGGUGAAAUGCGCAGAUAUCGGGAGGAACACCGGUGGCGAAGGCGGUUCUCUGGGCCUUACCUGACGCUGAGGAGCGAAAGCGUGGGGAGCGAACAGG
rnacentral:rRNA from 1 species